rnacentral:rRNA from 1 species
GGGUCCGAGCGUUAUCCGGAAUCAUCGGGUUUAAAAGGGUCCGUAAGUUGGGUUCUAAGUCAGAGGUGCAAGGUUGCAGCUCAACUGUAGAAUUGGCCUUUGAUACUGGAGCUCUUGAGUUAUGUUGCUGUGGCCGGAACAUGUGGUGUACCGGUGAAAUGCAUAGAUAUCACAUAGAACACCGAUUGCGAAGGCAGGUCACAAAGCAUAUACUGACACUGAGGGACGAAAGCGUGGGGAGCGAACGGGAUUAGAUACCCCGGUAGUCCACGCCGUAGACGAUGGAUACUAGCUGUUGGGUUUUCGGACUCGGCGGCCAAGCGAAAGUGAUAAGUAUCCCACCUGGGGAGUACGUUCGCAAGAAUGAAACUCAAAGGAAUUGACGGGGGCCCGCACAAGCGGUGGAGCAUGUGGUUUAAUUCGAUGAUACGCGAGGAACCUUACCAGGGCUUAAAUGGGAGAUGACCGGGUCAGAGACGACCCUUUCUUCGGACAUCUUUCAAGGUGCUGCAUGGUUGUCGUCAGCUCGUGCCGUGAGGUGUCAGGUUAAGUCCUAUAACGAGCGCAACCCCUGCCGUUAGUUGCCAGCGAGUCAAGUCGGGGACUCUAACGGGACUGCCGGUGCAAACCGUGAGGAAGGUGGGGACGACGUCAAAUCAUCACGGCCCUUACGUCCUGGGCUACACACGUGCUACAAUGGUCGGUACAAUGGGAAGCCACCCCGUGAGGGGGCGCGGAUCUUAAAAGCCGAUCACAGUUCGGAUCGGGGUCUGCAACUCGACCCCGUGAAGCUGGAAUCGCUAGUAAUCGGAUAUCAGCCAUGAUCCGGUGAUACGUUCCCGGGCCUUGUACACACCGCCCGUCAAGCCAUGGAAGCCGGGGGUGCCUGAAGUCCGUCACCGCAAGGAGCGGCCUAGGGCAAGACUGCUAACUAGGGCUAAGU